UUAGAGAAGAUGCCGAAAAUUUUCAGUUGCGCAUAGCACACGUAUAUAUAUAUAUAUAUAUACGCAGUGAGCGACUAACCUAAAACGUACUUAACCUAAAAACGAAUCCGCGCGCGUUAAAGUCACGGGCAAUGGCAAUUAACAGUAGCGACGUUUUAAUAGCGUUUCUAUCAUCGGCACGCGCGUUAACGAUACGCCGAUUGCCGAGCAAGCCGUGUUACGUCAAAGUCAAAACGUUGACAAACGUGCGCGUGCCCACCUGCAGCUCACGUCAACCGAAUCGAGAAAACAGGCCUCGAAGGACAAGCGACGAGAGAGAGAGAGAGAGAGAGAGAACGAAAUGAAAGAUCACUAUACGGGCCGUUUAUUUCGAAAGUGAAUUUCGAAGCCAAAAUUGCAAUAAAAUAAAUCACGGCGUUACAGUAUUGAAUUGCAAUGACAAAUACAAUUGACAAGAAUCGUAGCAAGGAAAUUUUAUUUAUUCCCAAUCGCCCGCCAGUCAGCGAAAAACAACGAACCAUGGAAAUCCAAAAUGUAUCGACAAUUCCUCCAGCUAUUGAACGACAAGGUGACUUGUAAACGUCAUCGUCACGUUAUCACUCUGUGUGCUCUGCGUGCUCCCUGCUACAUUUACGAUCGAGUAUCGUUUCAACUGUUUGCAAAGAAUACCGUGGAAUCGAGUAUGAUAACACUUUUUCCACCGGCGGAUCGAUGAAAAAUUGAAAAGUCGUCGUAAAGCACAAGCAGUUCGAGUCUUGGGGCUUGAAAAUUUCCAUUGACACGUUGUCUGCAGACAAAGAAACAAGGACAAAACACAGCAAGACAUUACAUUACUAUACUACACAAAUAUUACUUUACUAUAGUAAAGUACAGCGAAAGUAGGCAGAAGGUGAUCAUGUUAUAUCCUAUCGAAAGAGAAGAUACGUGUCUCAGAAGUUGCUACAGACCACAUAAUCUAAGCUCUACUACUUUACAAAUCAAUCAUAAAUUACGAGUACGAAUAUACUCUCCUGCAUAACAGUAAUGUAAAUCUAAUAAUAGGAAGAGAUUUCAAAAAUCCGAUUUUGAUUAUCUUCAACGGAAAAUUACAAAUUACAAAUGCGUAAAAGUCCACAAUCCAGAAGUUGUCACAUUGUUAUCUACUUGGCAAGUUGCGACGACGUAUUUUCAAUUAGUAAGCAUCGAGACAAAAAACGCAAAUCGGACUUGUGCCCUUAGGAGGUACUCAGAUGCGAUUCAACGAGGAUUCAACUAGUAAACACUAGAGAAGUGGGCCCCGCGAAUCGAGCUUUCCUCCUCGUCUCGUACACGCUUUCUUCUCAACCGAGCGUUGAAAGCAUCGAUACGAGCGCGAGAUAAGAGAAUGUACGAGACGAUAACGAUACGCGGGCGGUCGUAUCGCGCAGCAGGCAAAAACAACAACCCGUUGGACUGAUAAAAAGAAAAAAAAAAAAAAAAGAAAGAACGUCACUGUCAAAACGUAGUUCUUCCUGUCGAUCGUCGAGACGAAGAUCGGUUUUUUAAAUCGCCAGCCAGACGAUACGACGCUCCCGCACAGAGGGAAACUGUCAGGCGACGAGAGCUUCACACGCUGCUCGCCGUGCGCCAGACGACGGGUCGCCCUAUCGAGUGAACGUGCUUCCGAGAACUGCCGCUAGGGACGCUCGCGAGCCGCGAGCCCCGCCGUGACGUCACGCGGCACAUGCGCGCUAUACGCCAUCUGCCGAUCGUCUAUCGAACUAAACCCCGGGGCGAGCGAUCGAUCGACCGCCAGGUCACCCUUACGCGCCAAUUUCAAACGUUGCUCCUUUCGCGUUGCCCCGCACAGUUUAGGAAUGUUAUUAAGAAUAACUUUCCAAAAAAUAUAUUGUACGUUGUAUUGUAUCACUGUAUUGAUUCCGUUGUCAUAAAUUAUGUGUUAGAAAUA